AAUAAGUGUAGUUUUACACCGUUUAUGUCUCACGUUUGACCGUUCGUCUUAUUUAAAAUUCUUUUACGAUUAAUAUUUUUUUAUUAGAUGAUAAAAUAUAAAUAGUACUUUAUUUGUGACUAACUUAUUUUAAUUUUCUCAUAAAUUUUUUAAAUAAGACAGACGGUUAAACGUUGGACACGGAUUUUCACAGCUAAACUUAUU
rfam:Oryza sativa (indica cultivar-group) chromosome 2, whole genome shotgun sequence.